AAAUGAUAUUUUUUACAAAACUGAUUAAUUUGCAAUGCGGUAACAAUGCAAUUGUGUGUGUGCGAUCCAUAUAUGGUAGAUACUAUUUGAAGGUAGUAGUAAUAAAGGAAGGAAGAGAUAAUAGCGUUUGAGCGUUUGACGCUUGCAGUUGAAACUGUUCGAACUACAAAAUUUCAGUCACUGGAAUAAGAGCGACGGAUCUGUCGCUUCAAUUGCUUAUUUCAACACGUAAAAUUAUACCUUCGUGAUACUGUAGUUUACCUUACCAAUGGACUGGAAAUUCACAGGAAAUGGAAAAGAAGAAAAAUCUGAAAAGUUCCUCUUUGAUUAUCAAGUUAUAGAAUCUGGAUGCCACUAUUUACGAGUCAGUUGUUUUUGUCACGGAGUCAUACGUUAUCACUAUUUGAAAAUGCGUUAUCAAAUGGGGCAUUAGCACUUUAAGAGAAUAUCUGAUGUACAGGAAAAGAAAAUGGAAGAUAAAAGGAAAUAUGGAUCGCAGGUGUAUGAUAAACAAGAUAAAAUAAAUCGCGAAUAUAUUCCAUAGAAAUAUGAUUCUUUUAUUGGAGAACCUUUACAUCUAAGUUCUACUGCCGCGUUGAAAUCCGAUACCAUGUCUGCGCAGACCAGAGCAGGAUCGGAGCAAUCGGGUUUAGCAGGAC